GCCCUGGUGGUGCAAAGGUUAAGCACUCGGCUGCUAACUGAAAGGUUGGAGGUUCAAAUCCUCCUGAUGGCU
rnacentral:tRNA from 1 species